rnacentral:rRNA from 1 species
GACGAACCGUGCGAACGUUGUUCGGAAUCACUGGGCUUAAAGGGCGCGUAGGCGGGUUUGCAAGUCAGGGGUGAAAUCUUUCAGCUUAACUGGAAAACAGCCCCUGAUACUGCGAGUCUCGAGGGAGGUAGGGGCAUGUGGAACUUCCGGUGGAGCGGUGAAAUGCGUAGAUAUCGGAAGGAACGCCGGUGGCGAAAGCGACGUGCUGGACCUCUUCUGACGCUGAGGCGCGAAAGCCAGGGGAGCAAACGGG